GAUGAACGCUAGCGAUAGGCUUAACACGUGCAAGUCGAGGGGCAGCAUGGUCUUAGCUUGCUAAGACUGAUGGCGACCGGCGCACGGGUGCGUAACGCGUAUGCAACUUGCCUCACAGAGGGGGAUAACCCGUCGAAAGACGGACUAAUACCGCGUACACUUGGGAUAGGGCAUCCUGACCCAAGGAAAUGAACUUCGCUGUGAGAUAGGCAUGCGUCCCAUUAGCUAGUUGGUGAGGUAACGGCUCACCAAGGCGACGAUGGGUAGGGGAACUGAGAGGUUGAACCCCCACACUGGUACUGAGACACGGACCAGACUCCUACGGGAGGCAGCAGUGAGGAAUAUUGGUCAAUGGGCGAGAGCCUGAACCAGCCAAGUCGCGUGAAGGAUGACUGUCUUAUGGAUUGUAAACUUCUUUUAUACGGGAAUAACAAGAGCCACGUGUGGCUCCCUGCAUGUACCGUAUGAAUAAGCAUCGGCUAACUCCGUG
rnacentral:rRNA from 1 species